rnacentral:lncRNA from 1 species
UCCAGAGGUCUUGAAUCUGAUACUCAGUGUCUGACAAGAAGCCCAGGCUGACACUCAAGAUUAGAAGAGUUAAGUUUUGCUAUCACAGGACACACCUUCAGAGCCUGGGUCAAGGAGAUGAUUGCUUACAGAUGUGUAUGCGUGGCUAAGAUUUUCUUCUGUAGCACAGUUUCAUGGAAUGGAAAUGUGAGAUUCAAAUUGUAAAAUAAAUGGUACAAAAGAAGCUUUUGAUGCAUUUCUUUGGAGGGGGUCUUCUUACAGUUGUUCCAAAUUGCUUGCUUUUGAAGUUUCCCCCAAAGCUCUUUCAGUAGCAAUAAUAUGUUAAA